GGCCUCGUAGCUCAAAUGGCAGAACGUGCGCUGUACAAAGGCUUAGGCGGCGUCCAUGUGUGGGUUCAAAUUCCACCGAGGCUA
rnacentral:tRNA from 1 species